UACGGAGGGGACUAGCGUUGUUCGGAAUUACUGGGCGUAAAGCGCACGUAGGCGGAUUUGUAAGUCAGGGGUGAAAUCCCGAGGCUCAACCUCGGAACUGCCUUUGAUACUGCAAAUCUCGAGUCCGGAAGAGGUGAGUGGAAUUCCUAGUGUAGAGGUGAAAUUCGUAGAUAUUAGGAAGAGCACCAGUGGCGAAGGCGGCUCACUGGUCCGGUACUGACGCUGAGGUGCGAAAGCGUGGGGAGCAAACAGG
rnacentral:rRNA from 1 species